rnacentral:rRNA from 1 species
GCGUUAUCCGGGAUUUAUUGGGUUUAAAGGGUGCGCAGGCGGGAUGUUAAGUCGGCGGUGAAAUUUUGCAGCUCAACUGUAAAAGUGCCUUCGAUACUGGCUUUCUUGAGUGUGGAUGAAGUAGGCGGAAUUUGUGGUGUAGCGGUGAAAUGCUUAGAUAUCACGAGGAACUCCGAUUGCGCAGGCAGCUUACUAAACCACUACUGACGCUCAUGCACGAAGGUGUGGGGAUCAAACAGGAUUAGAUACCCUGGUAGUCCACGCAGUAAACGAUGAUUACUAGUUGUUUGCGAUACAAUGUAAGCGACUGAGCGAAAGCGUUAAGUAAUCCACCUGGGGAGUACGUUCGCAAGAAUGAAACUCAAAGGAAUUGACGGGGGCCCGCACAAGCGGAGGAACAUGUGGUUUAAUUCGAUGAUACGCGAGGAACCUUACCCGGGCUUGAAAUGCGGCGGACCGGCAGAGAGAUCUGCCUUCCCUUCGGGGCCGCCGUGUAGGUGCUGCAUGGUUGUCGUCAGCUCGUGCCGUGAGGUGUCGGCUUAAGUGCCAUAACGAGCGCAACCCUCAUCAUUAGUUACUAACAGGUCAUGCUGAGGACUCUAGUGAGACUGCCAUCGUAAGAUGCGAGGAAGGUGGGGAUGACGUCAAAUCAGCACGGCCCUUACGUCCGGGGCGACACACGUGUUACAAUGGGUGGUACAAAGGGCAGCUACCUGGCGACAGGAUGCUAAUCUCCAAAACCACUCUCAGUUCGGAUCGGAGUCUGCAACUCGACUCCGUGAAGCUGGAUUCGCUAGUAAUCGCGCAUCAGCCACGGCGCGGUGAAUACGUUCCCGGGCCUUGUACACAC